CUGAAGAACUGAACUGAACUAAAGAUUUAAUAAGAUUUGAUGAGAUUUAUGUGCAAGAUUGAUAAAACAUUUAGUAUACUUGUACCUUAAGUCUGUAAAUGAUGCAUCUGACAGAAUAUAGAUUGAAUAGAGUGUAAUAUUGACUUAUAUGACCUUGUCUAUAGGUCAGGUUUUAAAGAAACGGGGAAAACCCGGAUCUUGGCAGAUGGCGAGCCAGAGGCGUGAGGAAGGAUCACAUUGAAGGCGACACACAUACACAUAUACACAUACACUUUCCUGAGUUUUAAGGAUCAAAACAGCCCAGUGAGUCUGGUUUGAUCUCCGGCUGAUGGUGAUUUCUCUCUCUCUCCCUGAGCGCUGACAGGUACGAUGGGCUUCACAUCUUCCACUCGGCGCCCGAUGACUCAGGGAGAGUGAUCAGAAAGUGCGAUGUUCUCUGCUCUGCAAAUGAACGGGCUCGGAUAUAUGGAAAGAGGAAACGAAACAAGCGAGCGAGCGAGCGCUGCCAAAGACAUGCGAGUGAAAGGAAAGUGAAUAAGAACAUAUGCCUACAUGUGUGUGUGUUAGAGAGAGAGGGAUUAAAGCCUAACCAGUAGAGACAAACACACAGAAUUACUUCAGUCGAUGUCUCCUCCAGUGAGUCAGAGGUAAUUGAAGUUUGUAGAUUUGUUUUCACACAUCAGUAUGUCUUUUUUUUUUACACUAUAUAGGUUACAUAUAUGCAGUAAAGUACCCUUGAUGUCCCCACAGUGAUGGAUACAUCUGAAAAUACAUAUUCUGUUAAUGCUUCCACAAUAAACCAGACAAUGAAAAUG